CUUCUCGAUGACGAGUUGAUCUCGUACAUCCUUGCUGGACUCGACAUGGAGUACCAGCCGCUCGUCUCCGCCCUCGACGCACGCACCACGCCGGUCUCCUUUGAAGAGCUCUAUGCCCAGAUGAGCAACUUCGACC